UCAGGCGGUUAGGCAGCGGGGUUCCACCUCUUCCCAUUCCGAACAGAGAAGUUAAGCCCGCCCGCGCCGAUGGUACUACGAAAGUGGGAGAGUAGGUAUCCGCCGUUU
rnacentral:rRNA from 1 species